GACGAACGCUGGCGGCGUGCUUAACACAUGCAAGUCGAACGGAAAGGCCCUGCUUUUGUGGGGUGCUCGAGUGGCGAACGGGUGAGUAACACGUGAGUAACCUGCCCUUGACUUUGGGAUAACUUCAGGAAACUGGGGCUAAUACCGGAUAGGAGCUCCUGCUGCAUGGUGGGGGUUGGAAAGUUUCGGCGGUUGGGGAUGGACUCGCGGCUUAUCAGCUUGUUGGUGGGGUAGUGGCUUACCAAGGCUUUGACGGGUAGCCGGCCUGAGAGGGUGACCGGGCACAUUGGGACUGAGAGACGGACCAGACUCCUACGGGAGGCAGCAGUGGGGAACAUUGCACAAUGGGCGGAAGCCUGAUGCAGCAACGCCGCGUGCGGGAUGACGGCCUUCGGGUUGUAAACAGCUUUCGCCUGUGACGAAGAGUGAGUGACGGUAAUGGGUAAAGAAGCACCGGCUAACUACGUG
rnacentral:rRNA from 1 species